rnacentral:rRNA from 1 species
GACGAACGCUGGCGGCGUGCUUAACACAUGCAAGUCGAACGAAGUGGCGAACGGGUGAGUAACGCGUAAUCAACCUGCCCUUCAGAGGGGUACAACAAUCGGAAAUGACUGCUAAUACCGCAUACUGAAGGAGGGGCUGGCGUCGGAUUAGCUAGUGGUCGGGGUAACGGCCCACCAAGGCGAUGAUGAGUAGCCUGUAUUGGAGGGUUAACGGCCACAUUGGGACUGAGGCACGGCCCAGACUCCUACGGGAGGCAGCAGUGGGGAAUCUUCCGCAAUGCACGGAAGUCUGACGGAGCAACGCCGCGUGAGUGAUGACGGCCUUCGGGUUGUAAAGCUCUGUUGAUCGGGACGCGGUACCGGAAUAGAAAGCCACGGCUAACUACGUGCCAGCAGCCGCGGUAAUAC